rnacentral:rRNA from 1 species
UACAGAGGGUGCGAGCGUCAAUCGGAAUUACUGGGCGUAAAGCGCACGUAGUCGGCUUUGCAAGCCGGUUGUGAAAUCCCCGGGCUCAACCUGGGAACUGCAUCCGGGACUGCAUUGCUAGAGUAUGGGAGAGGGAAGCGGAAUUUCUGGUGUAGCAGUGAAAUGCGUAGAUAUCAGAAGGAACAUCAGUGGCGAAGGCGGCUUCCUGGACCAAUACUGACGAUCAGGUGCGAAAGCGUGGGGAGCAAACAGG